rnacentral:miRNA from 1 species
CACGUGGACGAAGAGAUGGGA